rnacentral:hammerhead_ribozyme from 1 species
AUCCAGCUGACGAGUCCCGAAUAGGACGAAAAAACGCACGUCCUGGAU